rnacentral:rRNA from 1 species
UGGGGAAUAUUGCACAAUGGGCGCAAGCCUGAUGCAGCCAUGCCGCGUGUGUGAAGAAGGCCUUCGGGUUGUAAAGCACUUUCAGCGGGGAGGAAGGCGGUGAGGUUAAUAACCUCACCGAUUGACGUUACCCGCAGAAGAAGCACCGGCUAACUCCGUGCCAGCAGCCGCGGUAAUACGGAGGGUGCAAGCGUUAAUCGGAAUUACUGGGCGUAAAGCGCACGCAGGCGGUCUGUCAAGUCGGAUGUGAAAUCCCCGGGCUCAACCUGGGAACUGCAUUCGAAACUGGCAGGCUAGAGUCUUGUAGAGGGGGGUAGAAUUCCAGGUGUAGCGGUGAAAUGCGUAGAGAUCUGGAGGAAUACCGGUGGCGAAGGCGGCCCCCUGGACAAAGACUCACGCUCAGGUGCGAAAGCGUGGGGAGCAAACAGG